ACUCGAGUGGCGAACGGGUGAGUAACACGUGGGUGAUCUGCCCUGCACUUCGGGAUAAGCCUGGGAAACUGGGUCUAAUACCGGAUAGGACGAUGGUUUGGACGCCAUUGUGGAAAGUUUUUCGGUGUGGGAUGAGCUCGCGGCCUAUCAGCUUGUUGGUGGGGUAAUGGCCUACCAAGGCGUCGACGGGUAGCCGGCCUGAGAGGGUGUACGGCCACAUUGGGACUGAGAUACGGCCCAG
rnacentral:rRNA from 1 species